rnacentral:ribozyme from 13 species
UUCUUUUUCUUUUUCUUUUUCUUUUCCUGUUUUGUGUUCUGGUCUGGGGGUUUCUUGAACAGAAAAUUGGGGAGCUUCUUGAAUUCUCAAAUCAAUUCGUUGAACAAUAAACACAGAGAGGGGUGUUGAUCGCAGCCCAGUUAACUCUGAAUUAUUUCGGACAGCCAAUUCUUUCAUAAAUCCAUCGGAACAAAGAGCCCAAAUAGAACUAUCAACAACCGUU